GAGGCGAACCGGGGGAACUGAAACAUCUAAGUACCCCGAGGAAAAGAAAUCAACCGAGAUUCCCCCAGUAGCGGCGAGCGAACGGGGAGCAGCCCAGAGUCUGAAUCAGUGUGUGUGUUAGUGGAAGCGUCUGGAAAGGCGCGCGAUACAGGGUGACAGCCCCGUACACAAAAAUGCACAUAUUGUGAGCUCGAUGAGUAGGGCGGGACACGUGGUAUCCUGUCUGAAUAUGGGGGGACCAUCCUCCAAGGCUAAAUACUCCUGACUGACCGAUAGUGAACCAGUACCGUGAGGGAAAGGCGAAAAGAACCCCGGCGAGGGGAGUGAAAAAGAACCUGAAACCGUGUACGUACAAGCAGUGGGAGCCUCUUUUAUGGGGUGACUGCGUACCUUUUGUAUAAUGGGUCAGCGACUUAUAUUCUGUAGCAAGGUUAACCGAAUAGGGGAGCCGAAGGGAAACCGAGUCUUAACUGGGCGUUAAGUUGCAGGGUAUAGACCCGAAACCCGGUGAUCUAGCCAUGGGCAGGUUGAAGGUUGGGUAACACUAACUGGAGGACCGAACCGACUAAUGUUGAAAAAUUAGCGGAUGACUUGUGGCUGGGGGUGAAAGGCCAAUCAAACCGGGAGAUAGCUGGUUCUCCCCGAAAGCUAUUUAGGUAGCGCCUCGUGAAUUCAUCUCCGGGGGUAGAGCACUGUUUCGGCAAGGGGGUCAUCCCGACUUACCAACCCGAUGCAAACUGCGAAUACCGGAGAAUGUUAUCACGGGAGACACACGGCGGGUGCUAACGUCCGUCGUGAAGAGGGAAACAACCCAGACCGCCAGCUAAGGUCCCAAAGUCAUGGUUAAGUGGGAAACGAUGUGGGAAGGCCCAGACAGCCAGGAUGUUGGCUUAGAAGCAGCCAUCAUUUAAAGAAAGCGUAAUAGCUCACUGGUCGAGUCGGCCUGCGCGGAAGAUGUAACGGGGCUAAACCAUGCACCGAAGCUGCGGCAGCGACGCUUAUGCGUUGUUGGGUAGGGGAGCGUUCUGUAAGCCUGUGAAGGUGUGCUGUGAGGCAUGCUGGAGGUAUCAGAAGUGCGAAUGCUGACAUAAGUAACGAUAAAGCGGGUGAAAAGCCCGCUCGCCGGAAGACCAAGGGUUCCUGUCCAACGUUAAUCGGGGCAGGGUGAGUCGACCCCUAAGGCGAGGCCGAAAGGCGUAGUCGAUGGGAAACAGGUUAAUAUUCCUGUACUUGGUGUUACUGCGAAGGGGGGACGGAGAAGGCUAUGUUGGUCGGGCGACGGUUGUCCCGGUUUAAGCGUGUAGGCUGGUUUUCCAGGCAAAUCCGGAAAAUCAAGGCUGAGGCGUGAUGACGAGGCACUACGGUGCUGAAGCAACAAAUGCCCUGCUUCCAGGAAAAGCCUCUAAGCAUCAGGUAACAUCAAAUCGUACCCCAAACCGACACAGGUGGUCAGGUAGAGAAUACCAAGGCGCUUGAGAGAACUCGGGUGAAGGAACUAGGCAAAAUGGUGCCGUAACUUCGGGAGAAGGCACGCUGAUAUGUAGGUGAAGUCCCUCGCGGAUGGAGCUGAAAUCAGUCGAAGAUACCAGCUGGCUGCAACUGUUUAUUAAAAACACAGCACUGUGCAAACACGAAAGUGGACGUAUACGGUGUGACGCCUGCCCGGUGCCGGAAGGUUAAUUGAUGGGGUCAGCGCAAGCGAAGCUCUUGAUCGAAGCCCCGGUAAACGGCGGCCGUAACUAUAACGGUCCUAAGGUAGCGAAAUUCCUUGUCGGGUAAGUUCCGACCUGCACGAAUGGCGUAAUGAUGGCCAGGCUGUCUCCACCCGAGACUCAGUGAAAUUGAACUCGCUGUGAAGAUGCAGUGUACCCGCGGCAAGACGGAAAGACCCCGUGAACCUUUACUAUAGCUUGACACUGAACAUUGAGCCUUGAUGUGUAGGAUAGGUGGGAGGCUUUGAAGUGUGGACGCCAGUCUGCAUGGAGCCGACCUUGAAAUACCACCCUUUAAUGUUUGAUGUUCUAACGUUGACCCGUAAUCCGGGUUGCGGACAGUGUCUGGUGGGUAGUUUGACUGGGGCGGUCUCCUCCUAAAGAGUAACGGAGGAGCACGAAGGUUGGCUAAUCCUGGUCGGACAUCAGGAGGUUAGUGCAAUGGCAUAAGCCAGCUUGACUGCGAGCGUGACGGCGCGAGCAGGUGCGAAAGCAGGUCAUAGUGAUCCGGUGGUUCUGAAUGGAAGGGCCAUCGCUCAACGGAUAAAAGGUACUCCGGGGAUAACAGGCUGAUACCGCCCAAGAGUUCAUAUCGACGGCGGUGUUUGGCACCUCGAUGUCGGCUCAUCACAUCCUGGGGCUGAAGUAGGUCCCAAGGGUAUGGCUGUUCGCCAUUUAAAGUGGUACGCGAGCUGGGUUUAGAACGUCGUGAGACAGUUCGGUCCCUAUCUGCCGUGGGCGCUGGAGAACUGAGGGGGGCUGCUCCUAGUACGAGAGGACCGGAGUGGACGCAUCACUGGUGUUCGGGUUGUCAUGCCAAUGGCACUGCCCGGUAGCUAAAUGCGGAAGAGAUAAGUGCUGAAAGCAUCUAAGCACGAAACUUGCCCCGAGAUGAGUUCUCCCUGACCCUUUAAGGGUCCUGAAGGAACGUUGAAGACGACGACGUUGAUAGGCCGGGUGUGUAAGCGCAGCGAUGCGUUGAGCUAACCGGUACUAAUGAACCGUGAGGCUUAACCU
rnacentral:rRNA from 1 species